rnacentral:lncRNA from 1 species
GGCCCAGCCCUAUGCACUGCUUCUGUCCCUGAUCCUGUGUCCCCCCAAGCCCAACUAGGAAAGAGUACCUGAUUCUUCUUUGCUUCCCUUUGAUAUAUUUCCUUUCCGCCUCCAAAUAGUAGCUGACAGUGACAUCAUUGGCUUCUGGUCUCUUCCAAGCAUGGCAGCGUCCUCAUUGGCUUUAUCCUUGGUGCCAAUGGUUGAUAUUCGACCAUAUGCCACCCACAGCUCUCAGAGAACAAAAUCAGCUGCUGGAGAAGUCCCUUUGCACACCAAGGCAUGGGCAGCAAAGAAUUACAUACCUCCCUGAGAUUAGCAGCCCUGAGCACAAUCAUGUGUUUGCUGGGACCUUGGAGUGGAGAGGCUGAGAAGGCACUACAGAAAUUGCAACCAGGAACUCCACAAGACGUGGGCGGAUGGCGAUGCCUGUCUCUCCCAAAACCUGCCCUAUCUUCCACAAAGUAAGGCUGAUAGGACCCGGCUAGUGUGGACACCCUGUGAGGACCCUCGUUCCUCUACCUCAAUAGAGUAUUCACUUCUGUCCAGCGAAGAAACCCAAGAACAGAGAUAUUUGCAAGUCUGCUCUUUCUCAGUAGGCAGUUUGGUGGAGUAGGUCAGAGCCCCAGCUUACAGCCCAUCACAGAUGGACUUCAGUCUCUGCUCUGCUACUUACUACCUGCCUGAUCUUGGGAAAGUUGCGUAACUUCUCUGAGCUUCAAUUCCUGUAACUGUAACGUGGUGGAAGCAGUCGCCUUCCUCAUAAGUUGUGAUGAGGACUGAUUGCCAGUGAGUGUGGAGUGUCUGGUGCUUAGGAAGACGCUGGUGGCUCUGUUCCCACUCUUCUCUUGUGAUCAUCAAAACAACCUGGAUGGACCAGCCCCACAUGAGCAGCCUCUGUUUUCUCCUGUGCCCUGAGCAGGGUUAGCAUUUGGACCCAACUCCCAUCUCUGGCUAACCAACUCCAUGAUGCAGUGACAGGAAAUCCAUACUUUAUUCAAGAUUUCAUGAGGAUUCCAUAGAGAGGACUCACAACACCUAACCCACAGACACCUACUUCUCUCUUCUAACAUGUUCCUUGCCUGUCAACCCCACGCCUUCUCCUUAUCUCCCCACAAGACAGAAUCUAAACAUCUUGCUUGAUGCUCUGAGCGGUCCAGUCCUCACCUUCAGCUUCAAACCCCAUACUGAAAAACUCAGGGCUGGGGUCAGCAAACGCCUGCCUGGCCUGACAGCUGGUGUGAUUCUGAAGCUCCACAACUUUGACCUAAUCAUCUCUCUAAGGGGUUCUCCUCUCCCCUGUCCUUGGGGAAGGAAACAAGACAAGUCAACCCCGGUGUGAACAAUGUCAAGUUGAUUCCUUUACCGUUUCUCUGGGAUGCUCCAGUUUGCACAGCCAGGGGGAUUUAAGAACCUCUGACUCCCAGGCUUUAUCCUUCUUCAUCCUCCACAAGUGUUUCUCCUGGGCCUUACGCAGAUGAAAGGUGUUUCCGUCUCAUCCUACCUCGGUGCAGUUUAACAAGAAUAUCAGAGAUGCCCACCCCCACUCUUUCAUCAGCCAUGAAAUGAAUCGAACUAGAGUACAAAGCCCUUGACAUCCUUUCAGGAAUGGAACAAAAGGCAUGGUUUCCUGGCACAACAGAAACCUUCCAGCCUUCUUCCUUCCCAGAAAUGGGUGGGCAGCUUACCUCUGCAGGGCCCUACCCUGCUUCCACCCAGAGGCCUGGAUCACACAUCACCCCUUUCUGUGUAGUGGUAAGACGUAGAAUAUAAGCUUUACUACCCUACAGCUCAGAGUUUAAAUCUUGGAUUUCCCCACUUAAUGGUGCAUAAAUUACUUACCCUCUCUGGGCCUCAGUUUCCCCAUCUACAGAACACAGAUAAUAUUAUCUUCCUCAGAAGAUUGUGGUUAAGACCCAGAGACACACAUUCGACACAUGACACACAUUCCCAGCAGAGAGUUGUGAUUUGUUUCUAACGUUGCUAGAGCUGGGUCUGGGGUUUCUGUGCCCACAUGGCUGGCGUCAUGGUAAGCAUCGGUCCAAGGAGGCUGGCAUGCUGACCUCAGGGGCCAGCUGCCUUGCCACUUGGACCCACAUUCUGCCUUCCUGCCUAGACCAUGGGAUUUCAUUCUCAUCAUUUAUUUUCCUCAGAUACGAAAAAAUAGACCAGUGGUCCUCAACUGGGGCAAUUUUGCCACAUCUCUCACCCCCGGGAGACAUUUGGCAAAGUUCGUAGACGUUUUUGGCCAUCACAACUGGAGUAAGGGUGCACUGGCAUUGGUGGGCGAAGGCCAGGAGUACCGCUGAUCAUUCUGCGAUGAACAGGACGGCCCCACAGCAAAAAUCAUCCAGCCCUGAGGUGCUGGGUGGAAAACCCUGAACUAGACCAAACGGGUCAUUUGGUUUCAUCUGUGUCCAGAGGUAGAUAAUACAAGGAUAUUUUUUUCUGAAGUAGGGGAAUAAGUGGUUGGAGGUAACCAUGUAAAAAAUACAUUUGUGGACAAAUCCUUUGUAAAGGACAGUAAGAAUUGUUAUCAAGAGAGUAAGAUCUCAGAUGAUUUUUCUUGUAUUUUAAAUCUUCCUCUAAUGUUAUUCGGGCAACAAACAAAGAAAAAAAAUCAUUCUAGGAUGUGGCAAAAGAUUCAGCUGGUAAUUUAAACAAGCAAACCAGCACUUAAGUGCUGCAAGCCCAUCAAUAGACUCAACAACCUUCAAACCCUCUUCACCCAGUGGGCCAAUUUGUCCACACCCAGUGCACUUUGAAAUCACCUAAGAUAGAAGCAAACUGAGCAAAAUCAGCCUUGGGAGGGGUGAGAAAACCAUCCACGUUAAAAUAAUUUAAGUAGGGCUUUUACAUUCAUUUAAUUUUUACUUCACUGUUCAUUAAACCAGAAAAUGACAGCGAUUGUCAUGACUGGUUAGGUCAGUCGAGACAAAAAAUUUCUGGUAUGACUGAUUGUUUCUUUAAAUUAUUAUCAUUAUUAUUAUUUUUGCCAGAAACUAUUUUGACCUGCCAAGUCAUUAAAAACUUCCAAGCCAAUCUGUAUGUACAAAUAGAGCCAAGGCAGAACAGUGGGGCACAGGGAGAAAAGCAGGCACUUAAAAUACCUUUUACAUUAUUAUAGGAUCUAUAGCUUCCAUCAUAAUGAAGGUAAAAAUAUGACAUUUAUAAUGAAAUGAGUGGCUGAACAUCAGAAGAUGUAAUUAAAAUGAGGAGGAAAAUGACCCCAGUACGUGAUCUUAAAGGUUCAUCAGGGCAACAUGCGUAAAGUCCUAUUCAUUUGAGGCCAGAGAAUGACUUAGAUCCCAAAAUACUAUACUAUUAAAGAAUGAGUUACUCACCAUAUUUCUUGUUAGCCAAACACGUGAGAUACAAUAAAUGCUUUUAGUCACUGUCAGCACAGUGGAGAUAAUUUGCAUAUGAUUUACAUAUAAUCUUUUUGCAGGCAGAUUACAGCGUUCACAAGUCUUUUUUUUUUUUUUUCAAAGAGAAGGAGCCAUUGACUAAUGGAUUUCUUUUAGAUAAUGUUAGAGUUUUUCAGCUUUUGUUGUUCCUGCCUCUAACCACUGAAUAUUAGCAAGCUCAUAAAUUGUCCUUUUGAUUUACAUAUUAACACUCUGAUCAAGACAAGAAAGCAUGACAAUCUAACUUUGAAAUGAUUAUAUAGUGUGGGACUGGGUUUAGUUUCCUGGGAGAAAAUGACAAAGUUAUAAAAUUAUAAACUACAUUAUUUAUGAAAGAGAAAUGCGUCCUGACAGAAAUUAGUUUAAAGGCAAAAUUCUGUAAUGGGUACAGCUUGUUUGAUCUGCCCAUUCUACCUUGUGUAGUCUUGCUGUACUAAUCUGUUUAUUUACUCACCAAUACAUUUAUGCUGCACUCCACAAAUGAUUCUAGAAAGCGCACACACAUACAUAAAAUACACACACAUAGAGAAUAGUUGAGAUGACAAAGAAGAGGACAAAGAAUUAAGCCA